UACGUAGGGUCCGAGCGUUGUCCGGAAUUACUGGGCGUAAAGAGCUCGUAGGUGGUUUGUCGCGUUGUUCGUGAAAACUCACAGCUUAACUGUGGGCGUGCGGGCGAUACGGGCAGACUUGAGUACUGCAGGGGAGACUGGAAUUCCUGGUGUAGCGGUGGAAUGCGCAGAUAUCAGGAGGAACACCGGUGGCGAAGGCGGGUCUCUGGGCUAGAACUGACGCUCAUGCACGAAAGCGUGGGGAGCAAACAGG
rnacentral:rRNA from 1 species